rnacentral:lncRNA from 1 species
GGUGGCUCACGCCUGUAAUCACAGCACUUUGGGAGGCCGAGGCGGGCGGAUCGCCUGAGGUCAGGGGUUCGAGACCAGCCUGGCCAACAUGGUGAAACCCUGUCUCUACUAAAAAUACAAAAAUUAGCCAGGGCGUGGUGGCGGACGCCUGUAAUCCCAGCUACUCGGGAGGCUGAGGCAGGGGAAUCGCUUGAACUCAGGAGGCAGAGGUUUCAGUGAGCCGAGAUCGGGUCAUUGCACUCCAGCCUGGGCGACAAGAGUGAGACUUCGUCUAAAAAAAAAAAAAGUGCCCUCUUCCAUGCAAGCUCCAGUUUUAGGCGAGCGAGCCGGGCUCUCCUAAAUAGAAGGUUCCAACCAAUCUCACCAGGCCAAAGGGGAUUUUCACGUACAGACUUUGAAUUUAGUAGGCCCUGAGCGUUCAUCUUCAUCCGUCCUUCUCAGCCGGAGCACCUUGAGCUGGCGCGUGUUCAGGUGCCUCUGAGUCUGUACUCCAAAUUAUGUUGGGCGCACCUUCAGCCUAUGAGGGAAAUGCCCCGUACUGAGCUUUGGUUCUUGUUCUAUUUUAACACUGUUUAGAACAGUAAUUAGGUUUUUAAAUAUCCUUCCUGACCCAGAGCCUUCCUAUGCAACAGAAAGAUUCGUUUAUUCCAGAAAGGACUCUUCAGAUUGAAACCACCUCCCAAACUAAAAACAAACAAACAAACAAAUUCCCCAAAGGAAGGGUCGCUUGGAUUCCAGAUCACCAUUUUGAAAUGUUACCUGUGUGACUACCA